rnacentral:tRNA from 1 species
AGCCGCGUCAAGUCUGGAUUCAUGGUCAGGCUCAUAACCUGAAGGUCGUUGGUUCAAAUCCAACCCCCGCUACCA